rnacentral:rRNA from 1 species
UUGCCAGCCGCCGCGGUAAUACGGAGGGUGCGAGCGUUAAUCGGAAUUACUGGGCGUAAAGGGCGCGUAGGCGGUCGCGCAAGUCGGGUGUGAAAGCCCCGGGCUCAACCUGGGAAUUGCAUUCGAUACUGCGUAACUAGAGUCUGGUAGAGGGAAGCGGAAUUCCGCAUGUAGCGGUGAAAUGCGUAGAUGUGCGGAGGAACACCAGUGGCGAAGGCGGCUUCCUGGACCAAGACUGACGCUGAGGCGCGAAAGCGUGGGGAGCAAACAGGAUUAGAUACCCUGGUAGUCCACGCCCUAAACGAUGAGGACUAGACGUUGGGGGGAUAAAACCCUUUAGUGUCGCAGCUAACGCGUGAAGUCCUCCGCCUGGGGAGUACGGCCGCAAGGUUGAAACUCAAAUGAAUUGACGG